AACGAACGCUGGCGGCAUGCCUAACACAUGCCAGUCGAACGAGACCUGCGGGUCUAGUGGCGCACGGGUGCGUAACGCGUGGGAACCUGCCCUUAGGUUCGGAAUAACUCCCCGAAAGGGGUGCUAAUACCGGAUCAUGUCUUCGGACCAAAGAUUUAUCGCCUUUGGAUGGGCCCGCGUUGGAUUAGCUAGUUGGUAGGGUAAACGCCUACCAAGGCGACGAUCCAUAGCUGGUCUGAGAGGAUGAUCAGCCACACUGGGACUGAGACACGGCCCAGACUCCUACGGGAGGCAGCAGUGGGGAAUAUUGGACAAUGGGCGAAAGCCUGAUCCAGCAAUGCCGCGUGAGUGAUGAAGGCCUUAGGGUUGUAAAGCUAUUUUACCCGGGAUGAUAAUGACAGUACCGGGAGAAUAAGCUCCGGCUAACUCCGUG
rnacentral:rRNA from 1 species